rnacentral:tRNA from 1 species
GCGGGUGUGGCGGAACUGGCAGACGCGCUAGAUUUAGGCUCUAGUUCUUAGGAGUGCAGGUUCAAUUCCUGUCACCCGCA